GUCUCAUUCGUCUAGUAGUUAGGACAUCACCCUCUCAAGGUGAAAACGGAGGUGCAAAUCCAUCAUGAGAUG
rnacentral:tRNA from 1 species